rnacentral:ncRNA from 1 species
CUCAUCCACACGAGUGCAAAAAUCAUGAAAGGGUUCGACUGUUCGUCGAUUAAAGAGCUACAUGAGCUGGGUUUAAUACGUCGUGAGACAGUAUGGUUUCUAUCUUCUAGAGGGAAUUAAAGUAGAAUAAAGAUAGCCCCUUCGUACGAAAGGAGUUGGGUAUAUUGACCUAUGGUUUACCUGUUGUUUAUGCUAUAUAUUAUAUAUUAUAUAAUAUAUCAUUUACUUAUACUUAAGUAAAUUGUUCACAUAGGCAUGGCAGGAAGGCUACGUCAGUUAAAGAUAAGUGCUGAAAGCAUUUAAGCGCGAAGCUUACUUUAGGAUACUUUUAAACGUAGUAGAACACUACGAGUAUAAUUGUUAUAGCCCCCUUCCUGUAGUGGGUAUAAUGAUUAAUAGGCUUUAGUUGUACUAAUCUUAAAAUUUUUAGACAUAAAGUACUAAUUAUUAAAAUACUAAAUAUU